UAACACUUAUUCUCCAAGAGCAACGGAGCCAGCGUGUCCCAGACAUCUGCGGCUGUUAAUGAGGUGGGGGACGCGAUCUGUUCCCGGGCGCCCCCCACCAAGUUUAUUGGAACGUGUGACAUUAAAGACAGCAGUCUCUCUGGGGCUCGGUGCCCAGAGAGCGUUACACCCCGAGAGAACGUGAAAAGACUUGAAUUAACAACAGGAGUGGGCAGGCCUGCUGUGAUCCUUCUGUUACCAUCUUCAGGGCCUGGGAAGUCAGCACUCAGCCUUUUUGAGUACCAACUUUAAAGACACCACCAGGCAACAAUUUCAUCCCGAAUGGAUUUGGAAAGACCCCUAACUGUAAGGACUGACUUGUCGCCUUGUGUGGACAUGAACGGGAGCAGAGGUGGCUGCGAGCACAUGUGCAGGCGGACCUCCAUGUGGCCCCUGGCCGGGUCCCUAGGUGGUUCCUUGGAAGUCAGUUAUUCUACAAGAGGAGCUCUGGUGUGGCCAUGCCGCUCCAUCGGUGGGAAAAUGUACUGAGCAUUCUUCACCUACAUGGACUCUGAAAGCACUGAGCAAUGCAGACUGAGAGAGACCAGUGUCUGACACACGUUUGGGGGGCAUCAAAUGCUCACAUGUGAGCUUGGCCCUUAACCUUCUUGAAAGCAUACUGCUCUUCCAGGCAUAUGGGGGAAACUUUCUUUUUGCUUUUUAGGCUGCAGCCAGUGGGAGUGGAGUGGAUGGCCAGCUAAGGAAAUUUAAGGAAAUAAACUUAUGGAGUUCCCAUC